UACGUAGGGGGCUAGCGUUGUCCGGAAUCAUUGGGCGUAAAGCGCGUGUAGGCGGCCCGGUAAGUCCGCUGUGAAAGUCGGGGGCUCAACCCUCGAAUGCCGGUGGAUACUGUCGGGCUAGAGUGCGGAAGAGGCGAGUGGAAUUCCUGGUGUAGCGGUGAAAUGCGCAGAUAUCAGGAGGAACACCCAUUGCGAAGGCAGCUCGCUGGGACGUUACUGACGCUGAGACGCGAAAGCGUGGGGAGCAAACAGG
rnacentral:rRNA from 1 species